rnacentral:lncRNA from 1 species
GAUGUUCCACCCUCAGUUGCAUAAAUAGCUAUACACAUCCAUACCAUUUCAAAAAGUAAUUAGAAGUCAUUAAAUCUUGGAAGAAAUAUCUUUUACUUUAGUUUACAUGGCUAAUUACUGUAAUUUAUAACAAACGUUAAAUAAGCUAAUCACACAAUUAAAUGCUGGUUCCUUUUACAAUACUGGUAUCCAGUGCUGUUUUGCUCUUGUUUUAAUGGAUGUGGCAGUGUAAUCCUGCAGUGAUACAUCCAAUCUGUUUUUUUCAGACAGCAGAUUUUAACUCUGCAGUUAGACUGACAUCAGCACAGCACAGCUCUGUGAUACCUUCUUGGCCAUCUGCCUCCAUCUCCUUCAGAGCAAGUAAUAAGCCAGAAACACAUGAGAACUGGCAGUGAUUAAAAAGACAGAACAACUGGAGAAUAAGGUUUAAUUGCUAGUGCUUCAGUUGUGCCAGGAUAAUACUAUGAGCACUGACUCAUCAAAAUCAACUGAUUUCUGACUACAGUGCUGUGUUUUUUGAGUAUCAGGAGAAGAAUAUUUGAAAGGGUAGGCAAAUGUGAAAUUGCUCAUAGCAUUUAGGUACCAUCCUGCCCUUCUAUAGUGCUUUGAUUUGCAGUCUGUAAGUAUAAUGGGACAGCAUAUUUCAGGCUACCACAGAAAACCUUUAGGAUCUCUCUAUUACACGAUGCCCUGUGAUUGUGCAGCCUGGAGCUGAUGACUCAGGUGUAAUGACUUCCAGUGUGAAAUUGCUAAUGAAGUGUUUUGCUGAAUCACCUUCAACUCCAUCCUCACUGAGUUUCCUACUGAUGAAGUGUAAUUAGUGCUGACUCACAGUAGCACAUACAGCCUGUGAAUUUCAGGCAGGAUAUAAGGUGAGAAUGAAGCCUUUGCAAGUAUGGGAAUUUGGGAAGUGUGAGAGAAGACAUUGUGUGAAGCCCAGGAAUGGAGACCAGUCUGCAGCUGCAGCACAGCCCUCACUGACCCAGCCAUCCCCUAACCCGUGUCUGGUGCUUGGCAGCCAGCGUGGGAAGUUUCUGUGCCAGAUAAUGCAGGGCGAUGAGUAUCUAGCAGGCGUUGUAUCCACACCCUCCCUGUCCUCCAGCCGUUCCAAGAAGCUCUUGGGGGGACAUUGCCUCCUUCUGCUUGGGCUGCCAACGUGCCACAGUGGCUCUGAAUCUAGCUCUGCUGCCUGCCCUGGGUGUCUGCUUGGAGCCAGUAGGAGCACAAUGUGAGCUCUAAUACUUGACCAGUAAGAUGUGAUUGCCUCUCCAUUUCCCUCUCUCUCUCUGAAUCAUGACUGAAGUGUGGGGAGGAGAAAUCCAGCACAGCCUCCACAGUCAGCUGCUUGAGGCUAUGACUACACAGCACCUGAAAGUGCACUUGCCCAGAGUCUGUGGCAUUUGUGUGACAUUUUAUAUUUAAGAAGUAGCAUAUUUUUCACUGGUUAGAAUAAAAUGCAAUGUUAUUUAUGUAACUGAUCUUGA